rnacentral:lncRNA from 1 species
AAACAACAAGACGCAAAAGAUUGCGCAAGAAUGCUAUUCCAAAUUUACUUCUCUCCACGUGUGAAACAAAUGCAUGUCCGAAUUCACUACUCUCAACAUCAGAAGCAAUUGCAUCUCAAGAGGAAGAUGAUAAUAAUAUUGAGGUAUCUCGUGAAAGCUGUUGUGUUGCCGGUUGUGAAAAUGCAUCCCUGCAACGUAGUGAAAAGCAUAAGUUAUGUUUCUUUCCCUUUCCCAGGGACAAACAAAGAAGGCAACUCUGGAUUAAUUUUUGCAGCAGAGAAUCUAGAUUUAAUUCUUACAAAAGUAAGAUUUGCAGCAGACAUUUUAGUCAAGAGCAGCUUGUUCAAUAUGUAGUCCGAGGAAACAAACUAUGAAAACAAAACUAAAAAAGAAUGGUGAGAAACAUUUUGUCAGCUUGCUGCCCAUGCUAUACUUUACUGAUACUCAACAUAGUCAAAAAUCAUUUAUCAAGAUAUUUUCACCUAUCUACUACAGUCAACUCUCGAUAAUUCGAAUUUCAAGGGACUGGAGAAAAAUUCGUAGCAACGAGAGUUUUGAAUUAGUGACGUCUUUGAAUCAAUUAAGUGUUCAAAUUAGGAGGUUUGGGCUAAAAAAAUUCGAAUUAAAGAGAUUCUAAAGAGAUCGUGAGAAUGAAGACGGAUUAACAAAUUUUGUCACCUUAUUCGCAUCUUUACAAUGGAUAAAAAAUGCUGGAUGUCAUGUGUUUGUCACUCUGGGAAAUUAAUGAGUUUUCAGUUGACAGAGAGGUUUUUUGGUAUCUUUUUGUUGUUGACUUGCUAGAAGUUUUGAAGUAAUGAGAGUCUCUUUCUAAAAUUUCGAAUUAUCGAGGUAGUUUGGUUACGCUGGUUUCUGAAAAAUUUGAAUUAUCAAGAUGAGAAAAAUGCAUUGAUUUUUUUCGAAUUAUCAAGAUGUUCCUAAAGGGACAACAGUCCACUUCGUACUGAUGAAAGUUUCGAACUCUCAAAAAUCAACUGUACUGAGUGAUUCAUCACAAUAUUCAUCCUAAUUUGAUCACUUAAAAAUUGUCCAGUAAAUGUAAACUAGGUAUUUUUCAGAAAACGAAUGAAAGAAAAAAUGAACUGCUUGGAGCAUGGCAAAUGCUUCGAGACUUGAUCUAAGAAAAAUCAAGUUUUAAACUUGAAUAAUAUUAGAAAAUUUAAAGCAGAAGCCCUCCAUUUACCCAAUGGACCCAUUACUGAGUGUUUAAAUUCAUGCAGCAAUGUUUCAUAUCUCUUAAUAUUCAGGACUUGAUUAGCACAACAAAAAUUGCAUAAAUAAUUAACUCUUUAGCAAGAUAUUAACAUUUUCAUGGUUGUUGCAUUGUUGAUUUGAACUUCUCAUUCAUCAAAAAUGAAACUUCACUUUUGUCAAAUCAUGCUCCAAAGGAUACCCCCAACAAAGAAUAUUUCAGCAGUUGUCGAAUUGUUCAUUUAUAUGUUUACUAAAGUAUGAACGAAAGUAAGUAUAAAUGAAAGUAUGUAUAAAUGAAAACUGUGAACAAUGCAAGAAAUCCUGAUCUCGGUUUCUCUCUUUGUCAACUUAGUGGGAGUGAGAGGGUCUCCAUUCAAAUAUGUUGGUAGAGGCAUUGGAAACAUUUUAAAACUUCUUAUUGAAUCAAACUCAAAUUUCUUUAUUCAAGUGGUUUAGGGGCGAAUAAUGAAACGCUACAGUAAUAAUACAAAUUAUCAUUGAAUCUUUUACGUUUAUUAAAAAAUGAAAAUUUUAACUCUUGCCUCGGAUGAAAAUGUUAUUAUGAUAAUCUUAAAAAUGGCAACUGACAAUAGAGGUCUGCAUAGGUUCUCAGGGUGAUCAUAUCGAUAGAUAGGUAUUAUGUGCUUAAGGCAGAAAGUGCCACCAUUAAUGAUGUAAAAUUCGAAGCAAAUCAAGUGUUUACAACUAAUGA